AUCGUACGAAUUAUCAGAGUUUGCGGUAAUUUUACACUUACACGCCCGCCCUCUGACUAAAAGCAGCAACUUAAUUUUGCAACAAUACCCCAACUUCUGUAUGCGUCGUGCGCCGCCGCCGCCGCCGAACUGCACAUACGUCUGAUCUGGAUCGACUUGAUCCUGACGUGCACCGGCACCCACCCGGCCGCCCCCAUGCAGCGGCGACUAGACACGGACAAGUAGCAAGUACCCCUUGCAAUCAGAGACACGUGGGCAUCAAAACUUUGAGAAGUAUGGAUCCAAUCAAUAACAUUCAAAUGCAUAUGAGCCCCGGGGGAUUUAGUACGCCCAAAAAGAACACAACCAUACCUCUCUUUUCUUCUUCUUUUACGCCUGAAUGUGAUGAGCAUUUGAAGCCUAAAGUGGGUAUGACAUUUGAAGGACUCGAGGCCGUGG